GCCGCCGAAAGUGCCGCCGAACAUGCAUGAGUUUCGUCUCUGUCUGGGAGUUUCGGCCGCCGAAGGUGCCGCCGAACCUGCCUGACUUUCGGCUCUAGAGGGACUUUCGGCCGCCGAACCUGCCGCUGAAAGUGCCCUGUUCAGCCUUCCUUUGCAUGCUUCCCAUGGAUUUUUUGAGGUGUUUUAAGGGGGUUUGGGGGAUUUUUUAGAGUCAUGUUCUAGUAUGUUUGGUCCCUCAUUUGAGUCCACCUUUGUAGGUUCGGACCCGAGGAACCGAGACCCCAGCAGUGACAGCUGCUUCAGAGCCUUGUCAGAGUCAGCCAGAGGUGAGUAGAAUAAACUCUUACGUUUUAAAUAAAUGAAGAACUUUAGCAUGAAUCAUGCAUCAUGAAUGCCAUGUGAUAUCCUAGGUUGCUUGCAUUAGAAUUCACGAAUAUGUUGCAUUGCAUAUCUUGAUGUUGAUGUGGAUGGAUAUUGGAUGACCAUUGGUCCUCAGUAUGAUGAGACAUGAUAUGAUAUGAUAUGGAAGUCCAGGUGUGGCCUGCACUACGCCCCUGGCACUAUGUAAGUGAAAGUCCGGGUGUGGCCUGCACUACGCCCCCGGCACAGUUGGACAUGUAUGUUAUGAGAUAUGUAAGAGAAAGACCAGGUGUGGUCUGCACUAUGCUCCUGGCACAGUUGGACUAUGUAGAGGACCCUUGGUGACAAGUCCAUCCUUGAUGUGAUAUGGUUGUGAUGUGAUGCAUUACAUGAUAGCAUGUGUUUUAAUUGUUAUUAUUAUUCUGCUCACUGGGCUCUUGUAGCUCACCCCUUUCCCCUUAUCCCCCCAGGUUUGCAGGUACNNNNNNNNNNNNNNNNNNNNNNNNNNNNNNNNNNNNNNNNNNNNNNNNNNNNNNNNNNNNNNNNNNNNNNNNNNNNNNNNNNNNNNNNNNNNNNNNNNNNNNNNNNNNNNNNNNNNNNNNNNNNNNNNNNNNNNNNNNNNNNNNNNNNNNNNNNNNNNNNNNNNNNNNNNNNNNNNNNNNNNNNNNNNNNNNNNNNNNNNNNNNNNNNNNNNNNNNNNNNNNNNNNNNNNNNNNNNNNNNNNNNNNNNNNNNNNNNNNNNNNNNNNNNNNNNNNNNNNNNNNNNNNNNNNNNNNNNNNNNNNNNNNNNNNNNNNNNNNNNNNNNNNNNNNNNNNNNNNNNNNNNNNNNNNNNNNNNNNNNNNNNNNNNNNNNNNNNNNNNNNNNNNNNNNNNNNNNNNNNNNNNNNNNNNNNNNNNNNNNNNNNNNNNNNNNNNNNNNNNNNNNNNNNNNNNNNNNNNNNNNNNNNNNNNNNNNNNNNNNNNNNNNNNNNNNNNNNNNNNNNNNNNNNNNNNNNNNNNNNNNNNNNNNNNNNNNNNNNNNNNNNNNNNNNNNNNNNNNNNNNNNNNNNNNNNNNNNNNNNNNNNNNNNNNNNNNNNNNNNNNNNNNNNNNNNNNNNNNNNNNNNNNNNNNNNNNNNNNNNNNNNNNNNNNNNNNNNNNNNNNNNNNNNNNNNNNNNNNNNNNNNNNNNNNNNNNNNNNNNNNNNNNNNNNNNNNNNNNNNNNNNNNNNNNNNNNNNNNNNNNNNNNNNNNNNNNNNNNNNNNNNNNNNNNNNNNNNNNNNNNNNNNNNNNNNNNNNNNNNNNNNNNNNNNNNNNNNNNNNNNNNNNNNNNNNNNNNNNNNNNNNNNNNNNNNNNNNNNNNNNNNNNNNNNNNNNNNNNNNNNNNNNNNNNNNNNNNNNNNNNNNNNNNNNNNNNNNNNNNNNNNNNNNNNNNNNNNNNNNNNNNNNNNNNNNNNNNNNNNNNNNNNNNNNNNNNNNNNNNNNNNNNNNNNNNNNNNNNNNNNNNNNNNNNNNNNNNNNNNNNNNNNNNNNNNNNNNNNNNNNNNNNNNNNNNNNNNNNNNNNNNNNNNNNNNNNNNNNNNNNNNNNNNNNNNNNNNNNNNNNNNNNNNNNNNNNNNNNNNNNNNNNNNNNNNNNNNNNNNNNNNNNNNNNNNNNNNNNNNNNNNNNNNNNNNNNNNNNNNNNNNNNNNNNNNNNNNNNNNNNNNNNNNNNNNNNNNNNNNNNNNNNNNNNNNNNNNNNNNNNNNNNNNNNNNNNNNNNNNNNNNNNNNNNNNNNNNNNNNNNNNNNNNNNNNNNNNNNNNNNNNNNNNNNNNNNNNNNNNNNNNNNNNNNNNNNNNNNNNNNNNNNNNNNNNNNNNNNNNNNNNNNNNNNNNNNNNNNNNNNNNNNNNNNNNNNNNNNNNNNNNNNNNNNNNNNNNNNNNNNNNNNNNNNNNNNNNNNNNNNNNNNNNNNNNNNNNNNNNNNNNNNNNNNNNNNNNNNNUGGUUUAAGAACUAUGUGAGCCCGAGGUUGGACAGCCUAUCAUGGGAGGAGUUUGCAAAUGAAUUUGUAGGAUGGGCUUUUCCUGACAGUUCAAGAGAAUUGAAGAUGAUUGAGUUUGAACAGUUAAGGCAGACAGAGGAAAUGAGUGUAGACGAGUACACCGACAGAUUCUUGGAGCUGUUGCCAUUUGCAGGGCAAACUCUUGACACAGACCAGAAGAAGUCAAGGAGGUAUAUUGUAACAUCCUCAAACCCAUAGGUAGAGUAGUGCCAUCGUUAGGCUAUUUCAUUCCUAGAGUAAGGGGCAUUAGGGGAGGUGCUAGUUUAACUCUAAUCUGCUAAUAACUGAAUCAUAGAAAACUUAAAUAAAGAAACGGACAUAUAUCAUGAAACUUCACUCCAGGUAUUCCUCCUUGAUUCAGUCCGCAGAUAGGGAGAGCUUCCAUGCCAUAGUGGAUAUGGCUAGGAGGAUGGAGGCUAGUGCUAUCAUCGAGGGAAAAGUGAAGCAGUCAGUGGCACAGCCUUCUGGUUCUAAGACCCCAGGCUCUUCUUCAAUGAGUGCAGCGGCUUCAGGUAGUAAAAAGUGGGACAGAGGCCACAGGAAGUCUAAGAAGAACAAGUUCUGGAACAAGGUUAAGUCCAGUCUGGGAUUUGGAGGUGGCUCAAGCUCUGGUGCGGAUAAUGCAGUUUGUGCAAGGUGUGGUAAGCCACACAAGGGAGUAUGUCGGUUUGGGACGACAGCCUGUUGCAGAUGCGGUCAGGAGGGACAUAUGGCUCGAGAGUGUCCAAGAGCAGUUCCGAUGGCUCAGUCCCAGCAGACAGCUUCGGGUAGUGUAGCGCAGCCAGCAGCUCCAGCCACGACUCAGGCUAGUGGCAGAGGUAGAGGGAGAGGGUCAGCCUCUUCUUCAGCGGGUUUCAGAGGUGAAGGUCCAUCAGCUCCAGCACGGAUCUUCACAAUGACACAACAGGAGGCAGAUGCAUCUAACACCGUGGUGGCAGGUAACUUAGUCAUUGGUUGUUCAGAUGUGUAAGCCUUGAUGGACCCUGGUGCAUCUCAUUCUUUUAUUGCACUGAGAGCCGUUUUGAGGUUGGGGUUGAUGAUCUAUGGGUUAGAGUGUCCUCUCUGGGUCAGUGGACCCAAGUGUGAUCCAUCAGUGGCAGAGUCAGUCUGCCAGUGUAGUCCUGUGUUUGUUGAGGGGAGAUGCUUGUCCGCCGACCUUGUGGUUCUAGACUUGACAGAUUUUGACGUCAUUCUAGGGAUGGACUGGUUAUCUACCCAUGGUGCUACCUUGGACUGCAGGGACAAGGUAGUCAGGUUCAGAGGUCAGGAUGGGUCAGAGGUAGUCUUCAGAGGAGACAGGAGGGGUACACCUAGAGGUCUGAUAUCAGCUCUUCAGGCUCGUAGGUUGCUUAGGAGGGGAUGUCAGGGGUAUUUGACUCAUGUGAGAGAGCUUAGCAAUCAGGUUAGAGAGCCCGCCUCGGUGCCGGUGGUCAGAGAGUUUUUGGAUGUGUUCUCAGACGAGCUGCCAAGUUUACCACCUGCUAGGGAGAUAGAGUUCGAGAUAGAAUUGAUGCCUGGAACCCGACCGAUCUCUAUCCCUCCCUACAGGAUGGCACCAAUAGAAUUGAAGGAGCUUAAGGAACAGUUGCAAGAGCUGGUAGACAAGGGUUUCAUCCGACCGAGUACCUCACCUUGGGGUGCUCCAGUUUUGUUUGUGAGAAAGAAGGAUGGAUCCCUCAGAUUUUGUAUCGACUACAGGCAGUUGAACAAAGUCACUACCAAGAAUAGGUACCCUUUGCCAAGGAUCGAUGAUCUAUUCGACCAGCUAGCAGGAGCGGGUUGUUUCUCCAAAAUAGAUCUGAGGUCCGGGUACCAUCAGCUGAGGAUAAGAGAGCAAGAUCUGCCAAAGACAGCUUUCAGAACCAGAUAUGGGCAUUUUGAGUUCCUUGUAAUGCCGUUCGGGUUAACCAACGCCCCUGCAGCAUUCAUGGAUCUCAUGAACAGAGUGUUGAGCCAGUACCUGGAUCACUUUGUGAUUGUCUUCAUAGAUAAUAUCUUAGUGUAUUCUAGGAAUGCAGAGGAGCAUGCCCAUCAUCUGAGGUUGGUUCUGCAGACCUUGAGGGAGUAUGGCUUGUAUGCCAAGUUCUCCAAGUGUGAGUUCUGGCUGAGGAGCAUUUCAUUCUUGGGGCAUGUUGUGUCAGAAAAUGGAAUAGAGGUGGACCCCAAGAAGGUAGAAGCUGUGGCUAACUGGCCUAGACCCACUUUAGUGUCAGAGAUCAGAAGUUUCUUGGGUUUGGCAGGUUACUACAGAAAGUUCGUUUAGGACUUCUCAAGAAUUGCAGCUCCUCUGACCAGACUAACCAGGAAGAAUCAGAAGUUUGUGUGGACCGACCAGUGCGAAGAGAGUUUUGAAAAGCUUAAGAAGAGGUUAACGUCGGCACCAGUGUUAGCUUUGCCAGCUAGCAAUGAGGACUUCAUAGUGUUCUGUGAUGCAUCCCGAGUGGGUUUGGGUUGUGUGUUAAUGCAGAAAGAAAGGGUGAUUGCUUAUGCUUCUAGACAACUGAAGAAGCAUGAGUUGAAUUACCCCACACAUGACCUGGAGAUGGCAGCAGUAAUCUUUGCACUCAAGAUGUGGAGGCACUACCUCUAUGGAGUUAAAUGUUAGAUCUUUACAGAUCAUAAGAGCCUGCAGUACAUCCUGAGUCAAAGAGAUUUGAACUUGAGACAUAGAAGAUGGGUGGAGCUGCUGAGUGACUAUGAUUGCAAGAUUCAGUACCAUCCGGGUAAGGCGAAUGUUGUGGCAGACGCCUUAAGCCGGAAAUCACUCGGCAGUUUAUCCCACAUAUCGACAGAAAGGAGGCCAGUAGUGAAGGAGUUUUACAAGCUCGUUGAUGAAGGUCUUCAGUUGGAGUUGUCUGGUACAGGUGCUUUAGUUGCCCAGAUGAGAGUGGCACCCGUGUUUCUGGAGCAGGUGGCUCAGAAACAGCAUGAGGACCCAGAGUUAGUGAAGAUUGCCAGGACUGUUCAGUCAGGCAAGGAUAGUGAGUUCAGAUUCGACAACAAGGGGAUCCUCCGCUAUGGGAGUCGAUUGUGUGUACCAGAUGACAUAGGGCUAAAGGGAGACAUUAUGAGAGAGGCUCAUAAUGCAAGAUACAGCGUUCACCCCGGAGCCACCAAAAUGUAUCAAGAUCUGAAGAAAGUUUAUUGGUGGCCAGCUAUGAAGAGAGAAGUGGCACAGUUUGUGUCAGCCUGCGAAGUGUGUCAGAGGGUGAAGCUGGAACAUCAGAAGCCGGCUGGAAUGCUUAACCCGCUACCUAUUCCAGAGUGGAAAUGGGAAAAUAUAGCUAUGGACUUCGUAGUGGGGUUACCGGCGACGUCCAACAGAUUGGACUCCAUAUGGGUGAUUGUGGACAGACUCACCAAAUCUGCUCACUUCAUCCCUGUCAGGAGUGGCUAUUCUGUGGACAAGUUGACGCAGGUGUAUGUCGAUGAGAUCGUCAGACUGCAUGGGGUUCCUGUUUCAAUAGUGUCCGAUAGAGGGCCCCAGUUCACCUCCAGAUUUUGGCGGAGUCUGCAGAACGCCAUGGGUACCAGGUUGGAUUUCAGCACUCCUUUCCAUCCACAGACGGACGGACAAUCAGAGAGGACCAUCCAGACGAUAGAGGAUAUGCUUAGAAUGUGUGUGCUGGAUUUUGGCGGUUCUUGGAGGCAGUAUCUACCCUUGGUGGAGUUUGCCUACAAUAACAGCCAUCAUGCUAGCAUCGGGAUGGCUCCAUAUGAAGCUUUAUAUGGGAGGAAGUACAGGUCACCUGUUUGCUGGGAGGAAGUUGGAGAGAAGGCCUUGGCAGGGCCUGAACUAGUAGAGAUCACCAGCAGGGUGGUACCCAUAAUCAGAGAAAGGAUCAAGACUGCUGCAAGCAGACAUAAGAGUUAUGCAGAUAUCCGCAGAAGACAAGUAGAGUUUCAGGAUGGGGAUCUGGUAUUGCUCAAGGUGUCUCCUAUGAAAGGAGUGGUUCGUUUUGGAAAGAAAGGUAAACUAGCCCCACGAUACAUCGGACCCUUUGAAAUCUUGCAAAAGAUUGGGAAUGUGUCGUACAAGCUGGAUUUACCUGCUUCAAUGGAAAGAAUCCAUCCGGUUUUCCAUGUUUCAAUGUUGAGGAAGUUUGUGUCAGAUCCGGACAAGGUUCUUAGUGAGCCUGAUGUGGAGAUCCAAGAGGAUCUCACCUAUGUUGAACAGCCAGUAUGGAUCAUAGACACCCAGAUCAGAAAGCUAAGGAACAAGGAAAUCCCGAUGGUGAAAGUCCUUUGGAACCACCACAAUAUGGAAGAAUGCACCUGGGAGACACGGGAGUCUAUGCUCCAUCAGUACCCUCAUCUCUUUUAAGGUUAGAUCUCUAUGUGUUUUAUGUGCUUUGUAUGUAUGUUAUGUGUAUGUUAUGUUGUAUGCUUUGCAUGUGCUAGUUGAGGAACAUUCGGGGACGAAUGUUCUUAAGGGGGGGGAGAAUGUUCUUAAGGGGGGGAGAAUGUAAUACCCGGCUAGACUCCGGUAUCGAAAUUCCUACCGUCCGAUGGAAUCUCGGGUGUCGGAAGCCUCUAGUCGGCUAGAAACAUGUUUUCAUAAAAUGUUUUAAUGUAUUUCAUGGUUUUAAGUAAAAAGGAAAUGAGUUUUUUUCAUGAAAAUAGUCUUGGAGGAAGACCCAGGUUCGGCUGCCGAACCUCAAGUUCGGCCGCCGAACAUGCAUGUGCUUCGGGAGUGCUUUAGGCCCCCGAAGGCAUAAGUGAGGGAAGUCCAGGUUCGGCCGCCGAACCUUAUGUUCAGCCGCCGAACAUGGCAUGCAUGCGGAGGCACGUUCGGCUCCCGAAUGUGGCCUGGCCAGCCACCUAUAAAGGGGUCCCUUAGCCGAAAACGGGCGAGUUUUUCUCCCCAUUUUUGGCCAAGGUGAGCUCUCCGCCGUCCCUCACCGAUCUUGAGUUUCUUCCUUCCAUUCUUCAUGAUUUUUCUGAGUUUUCACCUUUGUUUUGAAGAUUUUCGAGUAUAAAGCAAGUUUUGGAGCUUUGAGGUUCAAGAAACUAAAAUCUCUCCCAUCUCCAAGCUAGGGUCGUUCUCCUCUCGAUCUUCAAGAGGUAAGGGCCGAUCUUGAGCUCAUUUUAUGUUUUAAACAAGUUUUAUGCAAGUUUAUGGAAUAGAAAUGCAUGUUUAGGUUUUUGGUUGGUUUAAGGGUUAUGUUAAGUUUUUGAGCAAUGUAUGAUGCUUGUGGUUGUUUGAUGUGUUGUAGAUGAGGUUUAGGAUAGUUUGAAGCCCCUAGGAGCUGAUGUAUGUAUCUAUGCAUGUUUUGAGUGAGUUGUAUGCUUGAUCUAAAAGGUUGGGAGGCAACUGUGCAUGAGGAACCAAGUUUCUGCCCUUUGGCAGAAACCAGGUUCGGCAGCCGAAGGACUUUCGGCCGCCGAACCUGCUUUGGAAGGCAAGCCUUUCGGCUGCCGAAGCCUGCCCCCGAAAGAGGACUUUCGUCUCUGGAGGGUAGUUUCGGCCGCCGAAAGUGCCGCCGAACAUGCGUGAGUUUCGUCUCUGUCUGGGAGUUUCGGCCGCUGAAGGUGCCGCCGAACCUGCCUGACUUUCGGCUCUGGAGGGACUUUCGGCCGCCGAACCUGCCGCCGAAAGUGCCCUGUUCAGCCUUCCUUUGCAUGCUUCCCAUGGAUGUUUUGAGGUGUUUUAAGGGGGUUUUGGGGGAUAUUUUAGAGUCAUGUUCUAGUAUGUUUGGUCUCUCAUUUGAGUCCACCUUUGUAGGUUCGGACCCGAGGAACCGAGGACCCCAGUAGUGACAGCUGCUUCAGAGUCUUGUCAGAGUCAGCCAGAGGUGAGUAGAAUAAACUCUUACGUUUUAAAUAAAUGAAGAACUUUAGCAUGAAUCAUGCAUCAUGAAUGCCAUGUGAUAUCCUAGGUUGCUUGCAUUAGAAUUCACGAAUAUGUUGCAUUACAUAUCUUGAUGUUGAUGUGGAUGGAUAUUGGAUGACCCAUUGGUCCUCAGUAUGAUGAGACAUGAUAUGAUAUGAUAUGGAAGUCCAGGUGUGGCCUGCACUACGCCCCUGGCACUAUGUAAGUGAAAGUCCGGGUGUGGCCUGCACUACGCCCCCGGCACAGUUGGACAUGUAUGUUAUGAGAUAUGUAAGAGAAAGACCAGGUGUGGUCUGCACUAUGCUCCUGGCACAGUUGGACUAUGUAGAGGACCCUUGGUGACAAGUCCAUCCUUGAUGUGAUAUGGUUGUGAUGUGAUGCAUUACAUGAUAGCAUGUGUUUUAAUUGUUAUUAUUAUUCUGCUCACUGGGCUCUUGUAGCUCACCCCUUUCCCCUUAUCCCCCCAGGUUUGCAGGUACAAGGUAGACCAGGAGGUCGGCAGGAGUAAAGUAUGUUUUUAUGUAAUAGUUAGGAGUUGUGGACAUGAUGAAAUGGUAAUGUAAUGUGUUAUGUAGUCAUGAUAUGUAAAGUGAUAUUGAGGAUUAGAGGUUGUGCUUGACCCUAUAUGUAUGGUAUUCCCUUUUAAUGCAUGAUCACUAUUAUCAUUGAUGAGAUGAGUAAUCAAGCUUAAUGUAUGUUUUUGAUACCCCAUUGGAGAAUGGUAUGAGGGCUCCAGUGUGAGGUUUAUGGUUAUGUUAGUAUGCAUGCACAGGUUAAGCUUGAUUUAUGAAAGAAAAAGUUUAUAUGUUUAUGAUUUUGUAUGAUCAUGUAUGGGAUUACACAGGUUUACAGGUUUUAUGUCAGGCUUGCUACGGGUCCCGGCGGCCUUAAGCCGAUCUGGAUCCUAGCGCCGGUAGCGGUCUGAUUUUCGGGUCGUUACAAAAAGGAAGGAGGCGCGCGGAUGCUCUUCAGGGGGAAAGUGGGCGCGCGGCAUGCAUGUGCAGAAGGAAAAGUGAAUCUGUCCAGUCUUUCCUUUUUAGGUGGAGCCUUCGUUUGAAUUUUGAAUGCUGAACGUAGAAGAGGCAAGUGCGUCUUCAUGAAAUCUUGCUGCCUAAAUAGGAAGAUAUGACUGCUGCAGUGUGUGCACAUCAAUGAACAAGGAAAGAAAGAUCUGCAUUUUGACUUUCAAAUAAUCUUCUGACUAAACUUUCCUUAUUUGCUUUUGCUUCUACACUUUCCUUAUUUGAAAACUUUCCUUUUCUGAAACCUUUCCUUAUUUGAAAACUUUCCUUUUCUGAAACCUUUCCUUAUUUGAAAACUUUCCUUUUCUGAAACCUUUCCUUAUUCGAAAACUUUCCUUAUUUGAAAACUUUCCUUUUUUUGCACUUUCCAUAUUUGACACUUUUUGGCAGUUUUAAGAGCAUUUUCUCCAGAUUGUCUCUUUACACCUAUAAUCUGCAAAACAUGAUUAAAACUACAAAAUCAGGCAGAAAAGAUGUAAAUAAACAUCAAGAACAUAAUGAUAAAAUGGACUAAAAUAUGCUCUAUCAAAUACCCCCACACUGAGCCUUUUGCUUGUCCUCAAGCAAAUAAACAUUGUCAAAUAAGCUUUCUUUGCUACUUGAUCCUUAUUUCCACUUAAACUCUUACUCAAGACACCUAUUUUGAAUCAUUACAGUGAAGAAUACAUGCAUGAAGAUUACUCACCUUCUUUCCUUGUUUCCCUUUACUUACCAUAGCUAGGAUUUAUUUUACUCAAGAGAGAGAUUAUACAUGCACUUGUUCUGUUCAGUUAAGACUUUUUCUAGCUUUCAGAGUGAUUUGCCCUUACCUUGAAGUACUAUAUUCAGCUUUUUGCACUUUAAUCUUGCUUGAAAAAGUCACCAACCUUUUGACGUGAAGGUACAUAUUGGUGAUACCCACCCCCAGUUACUCAGUUGGUCACCUGUCCAAGUGGCUACUAGCUCUGUUCAUAGUCUUUCAACCAUUAGAACAGUUUUCAAUUUGUGCUCAUGAAGUCUAAGCCUUUGCUGAAUUUCUUUAAUCAAUGCAUUGGACAAAUCAACACCAAUUGCUAAAUCAAGUCAUGUUAAGUUCAUUCAUACAAUUUCAAUUCAUUCUCUCUAAUGAGUGUCAUCAAUACAUUUUUCACCAUGGUAGGCUCAAGGAUUCAAUUCAAAAGGUAAUUCUCAAACAUGAAUAUAACUCACUGCAAUUGAUUCAAUAUAAGUUUAAAGAGUCAUUACAUCAAUGGGGUCAUGGAAAGAAAAACUCAUUCAACAUAGUCUAUCAGUUUGAGUAGAGCAAAUAAAAAAAAAGAAGAAGAUUGGUGGUUGUGUGUGUUAUUGAAAGCAAAAACUAAAAAUAAACUGAAAGAAAACAGAAAGAACAAAAAUUGCUUAAACUGAAGGAAAAAAAAAAAACUUAUGAAUCUGAAAGGAAAAAAAAAUUCAAAAAUUUUCGCAGACUAAAAGGAGUCUUGCGCAAAAACUGAAAGGGAAAAGAAGAAGAAGAAGAAGAAGAAGAAGAAGAAAAAGAAGAAGAAAAAGAAGGAGAAGAAGAGAGGUAUGCACCCCCACACCUAAAUCAUGCAUUGUCCUCAAUGUAUGAGAAAAUAAAAGAACAAAGGAAACUGAGUACUCCCCUGGGGUGUGGUGUGCGUGGUGUGAUCACUUAGGCUGAAUGAGUGACGAACAGAUGUUCGUCUGGGAAGUCUUCCUUGACUGGGCAUGGCACAGAGCUAGAUGGAAGCCGGCUCAAGUGAUCAGCCAUUAGAUUCUCCUUUCCUUUCUUGUUCCUUUUUCCAGAUCGAAUUCUUGUAGCAACAGAAUCCACCGAAUGAGUCUCGAUUUUGCUUCCUUUUUCUUGAUCAGAUAUCACAAAGCUACAUGGUUAGAAUAGACAAUGACUUUGGUCCCCAAGAGAUAUGGUAUGAAUUUCUCUAAAGCAAAUACAAUAGCCAAAAGCUCCUUUUCUAUUGUUGAGUAGUUGCUUUGUGCAGCAUCCAGUGUGCGAGAGGCAUAGUGAAUGACGUGAGGUGAGUUUCCCACAUGUUGCCUCAAGACUGCUCCCACUGCAUAGUUGCUUGCAUCACACAUGAUUUCAAAGGGCAAGUUCCAAUCAGGUGCUUGAAUAAUUGGGGCAGUCACAAGCAAUUUCUUUAUCAGAUCAAAUGUCACAUCUUGUUGGAGCAAUUUACAUAAGGGUUGUGUGAUUUUGGAGAAAUCUUUUAUGAAUCUCCUGUAGAAUCCUGUAUGACCAAGGAAAGAACGGAUUUCUUUAACAUUUGUAGGAUAAGGUAGAUUUUUAAUUGUGUCUACCUUAGCCUUGUCUACUUCAAUUCCUUUAGCUGAAAAAACAUGUCCCAAAACCAUACCUUGAUUAACCAUAAAAUGACAUUUUUCAUAAUUAAGUACAAGGUUAGACUCAAGGCAUCUCUAUCGGAUCUUUUCUAAGUUGGCAAGGCAUUCUUCAAAGGAGUCGCCAUGCGCUGUGAAAUCAUCCAUGAAUACUUCAAUUGUCUUACCCACAUAGUUAGAGAAUAUGCUCAUCAUGCAUCGCUGGAAGGUGGCAAGUGCAUUGCAUAGUCCAAACGACAUUCUUCUAAAGGUAAAAGUGCCAAAAGGACAAGUGAAGGUGGCCUUCUCUUGGUCCUUGAUAGAACAUAUUUUAGUCCAUUUUAUCUUGAUAUUAUUGAUGAUUAUUUACAUGAUUUCUGCUUAAUUUAGUGCUCUUGAUAUUAUUUUGCAGAAAAUGGUGAAAAAGGACAUUUUGGAGAAAACACCCUUAAAACUGCCUUACAUGGAGCAAAGGAGAGCAAACCUGCCAAGUUGGAAUCAAGUGAAGCUAAAUAAGGAAAGUUCUAAAUAAGGAAAGUGGCAAAGAAGGAAAGAACAUUUAGCCAAAGCAAUUUAAAAUUCAAAUUUCAAAUCUCCAAGUAGCCUUUUCCUUAUUCAAUAAGCCAAGUCUCAAGUUGCCAUAAAUGAAGAGCCAAAUAAGGAAAGUAUUUUGAAAUUCAAAUAUUUAAGAUUCAUAUUCAAAUUUUGAAUUUCAAAAUCCAGCUUAUUAAGAAAGCUAAAUCCAAAGAUCACAUGCUUGCCACCUCAUGCCUUGCACAUUUAAAAUUCAAAUUGCAAAGGAGGCUCCACCUUCCUUAUUAGUGCAUGGGCGGCAAGGAGAGUGUGAAGGCAAGUCUUGGGCACCUUGGGCACUAUCUUGAAGACACUUGGACAGCAAGCAUAGACCAAAGGCCCCACUCCUUGCAAUUGAACACAUGCCCCACGUUUUUCCCUCCUCACAUGUGCAUGGAUGGCACAUCUUGGACCAAAGGCAUUUUGGGCAGACUCUUAAAGUCUUUUGGGCAGCCUCUUGACACUUUGGGCAGCCUCUUCACUAAUUAGGAAGCAAGUAUCAUCUUGGACAACACUUUUCAAGUAUAAAAAGACACAUAAGGAGCCUCCCCAUGCUUUUUCAAGCCCCCCUUGGAGGCACUUACGGGAUUCACAUCUCUUCUUCUACCUUUCUUCUUUUCUUUUAUUUUUGGUUUUUGUUUCAGCCAUGAGAGGCUGAAAUCUUUUAUUCUAGUUGAAGAUUAGGUGAUGCUUUAGUUGUUUUAUGGAUUGGGAGACUUGAUCAAACAUUGUUUAUCUUUUGUUAUUCAAUAUUCAUACAAUCUCAUGCUUAAUUCCAUUGUUGCUUUGUUGUUUUGAUCAAUAUGGCCAAUUGAUUCUUGAUUGCAAGGUAAUAAUAUGUUAGUUUGGGUGAUUUAAGUCCAUAAUUGCUUGGAUUAUUCAAACAUAAGAACACUUGGUGUAAAAACUAAGGAAAUUGUAUGAUCUAGCAACAUCUCAUGCGUUUGAGUAGUUAGGAUUGGAUCUUUCUCUUUCUUCAUGCAAUCGACAAUUGUUUGAUGCCUAAGGCCCAAGGACAUUCCUUGGCAAUUUGUUAAUUAGUAAUUAAUUAGAGUACAUUCCCUAAUUGGUUUAAUCAUAAGGAGAGACAUGAUGGUGAGAAGUGUCUUCCAUCUCCAUAACUAAUCUAUUGAAUCAAUCAAAAGAAACUAAGUAUCAAUGAUCAAUCCCAACAACGGAAGUAGAUCCAAUUCUUCAACUAGAGCUUUCUUAUUAUUUAUUUCUCUUUUAUUUUAUUAUUCGCUUAUUUUAAUUACUUUCAGUAGUUUGUUAAUCAAAUCAAUCUCAAAACCCCCAUUUUACUUUUACUGCAAUUUAGUUUUAUUCCACUUUCAGUUUAUCUCGUUUUCAGUUUUAUCUCGUUUCAGUUUAUCUCGCUUUCAGUUUAUUCCGCUUUCAGUUUAUCUCGCUUUCAGUUUAUCUUGCUUUCAGUUUAUCUCGCUUUCAGUUUAUUCCGCUUUCAGUUUAUCUCGCUUUCAGUUUAUCUCGCUUUCAGUUUAUCUCGCUUUCAGUUUAUCUUGUUUUCAGUUUUCUCCUUUUUAUGUUUAUUUUUAUUUCAGUUUAUUUUAUUGGUCUUGAUAAGAAAAAUAGGUAAGUUCUCAAUUCCCUAUGGAUUUGAUCCUUUCACCACUAUCUGCAGUUGUAAAUUGUUGAUAACCAGAGAGGUUAUUUUUGACCGACUUCGACAACCACGAGUCAAAAAUUGGUGCCGUUGCCAGGGAGUUGAUUUAACUUAUUUGUUUUUCUUUCAGAACCAGAUCCGCCACCCAAAGAACACUUCAUUGCAUAUUUGAACAUAAAAAAAAAGUGAAGACCAUUUUUGCAUAGGAGCACCUUUUGCAACACAUUCGACCGCCGAACUUCAUCAACCUUCGACCGCCGAACCUCAUCCACAUUCGACCGCUGAACUUCAUCAACCUUCGGCUGCCGAACCUCAUCCUCAUUCGGCUGCCGAACAUCUCGCCAAAGGCACAGUCACCAUCGCAGAUCUGAAUCAUGGAUGAGGUAAGUACACCUGCUACUUCUUCUCAGCUUUUUGAACUGACAACUUUUAUGAAAGAUUUUUCCAUAGGACUAGUUCAACAGGCUCAAGCAUUUCAGCCAUCAAGGCCAUAUGGGACCUAUUCAUAUGUAGGACACCCAACUGAUUAAUGUCCUACACGUUAUGAGUAUGACCAACAAGUACAUACAUUUGGAGGAUUCUAUGGACAGCCAAGACAUGAUCCCUACUAUGACACAUACAAUCCAGGUUGGAGAGACUGUCCAGACUUCAAUUAUGCAUGGGAUAACGACUACCAAAAUUAUCAAGGAUAUCAAGCCCAACUAGAAUCUCCAAGUUUCAACCAACACCUUUAAGAGAAGAUGAGGACAUUUGCGAUUUCUGUGCAAACUCUCCAAUAGCAAAUGCAACAAGUGGUCACCUCAUUAAGUGCACGCAUGUUAAGAAGAGAGAAAGAGCUUCAAGAUGUAUGGGAUGACGAUGAAAGUUCACAAGUGCAAGAACAAAGUGCUGAAGAAAAACAACCAGAAAAUUGUUUGCCUAAACAAACUGAUCAAACAGAACUUACUGAAAGUUUAGAUAUCAUUGAUUGUAUGAGCCAAGAAAAUUUUUAUGUAGAUCAAGAUGAUAUGCUAAACAAUGAUUUUUGCAGGGAAGAGAACUAGAAAGAGCCAGAAUUGAAAGAAACUGACUGUUGCACCCAACAGGUGGAGUGCAACCAUGCACAAAACAAGGAAGAGCCAAUCACACCUAUUCAGAUCAAUCUUGUGCAGUCAGAAGGAACUCCAAUCGAACCACCUCAGUUUGGAUCGCAGGACAGUCCUGCAACACUUCCCAUCGCACCACUUCAGCUUGGUGCGUAGAUCAACCUUGCACAGACAGAAAGCAUUUCAGGCAUGCCUCUUCAGCUUGAACUGCAGGACAGUCAUCCCUUUCAGUCAAGUCUUGCGCAGAAGGAUCAAACUAAAACCAUUUCAGCCAUAAAUCCAAUGCAAACAGCCCAUGCUCACAAGGAACAAGUUGAAGUUCAAGAGCCCAAACCAAAGGACCAUGCGGAACAAUGCCUUCCCAAACCUCCGGAUAAGGUAGAGUUUGUUUUGCUUGAAUUAAGUACUAAACUGCAGCUAGCUAUGGAGAGAUAUGAAUUGAAGUUGGAAGUGCUAAAAAAUGCAAACAUAAGGGCUAGAGGCACACCUCAUCUGAAAGAAGAGAAGCUAAUCAUGUUGCUUCAUGAGUACAUGGAAAAACAUAGGAUGGGCUAUGACCAAAUCAAAAGGAGUGCUACACUUUUUACUCAAUGCAGUUGGGACGCUUUUCCCUUCCCCAAUUACUUGAGCCUUGAUCAAGAGGAUCGCACCAUGCACACCACACCCAGGGGAGUACUCAGUUUCUUUUGCAUUUUAAUAUUUCCAAUACAUUGAGGACAAUGCAUGAUUUAGGUGUGGGGGUGCAUAUCUCUGAAUUUUUACUUUUAAGUUUAUUUUUGCUUUAAUCUUUAGUUUGCUUGCAUUAGGCAAAUUUUUUUCAUUUUUAUUAUUUUUGCUUUCAAUAACGCACACAUGUAGCCACAAUUUUUCUUUUAGUUUUGAGAUGCUUUACUCAAACUUAUAGACUGUGUUGGAUGAGCUUUCUUUCCAUGACCCCAUUGAUGUGAUGACUCUUUAAACUUAAGUUGAAUCAAUUGUAAUGAGUUGUAUUCAUCUUUGGGAAUUGCCUUUUGAAUUGAAUCUUUGAGCUUGCCAUGGUGAAAAAUAUAUUGAUGACCCUCAUUAGAGAGAAUGAAUUGAAAAUUGUGUGAAUGAACUUAAUGUGACUUGAUUUAGCAAUUGGUGUUGAUUUGCCCAAAUCUGUUGAAGAGAAUGCAAUUCGGCAAUGGCAAAAGAAACUUCAAAGAACAAAUUGAAAACUGUUCCAAUGGUCAUUGACUAUGAACAGAGCUAGUAGCCACUUGAAUAGGUGACCAACUGAGUAACUGGAGGUGGGUAUUACCAAUAUGUACUUUCACGUAAAAAGGUUGGUGACUUGUUCAAGUAAGAUUAAAUGUGCAAAAAGCUGAAUAAAGUAUUUCAGGUAAAGGGCAAAUCACUCUGAAAGCUAGAAAAAGUUUUAAUUGAACAGGACUAUGUGCAUGUGCAAUGUCUCUCUUGAGGAAAACAAAUCCUAGCUAUGGUAAGUAGAGGAAAACAAGGAAAGAAGGUGAGUAACCUUGAUGCAUAUAUUCUUCACUGCAAUGAUUCAAAACAGGGGUCAAGAGUAAGAGCUUAAGUGGACACAAAGGAUCUAGAGCAAAGAGAGCUUGUUGGACUAUGUUUAUUUGCUUGAGGACAAGCAAAAGACUAAGUGUGGGGGUAUUUGAUAGAACAUAUUUUAGUCCAUUUUAUCUUGAUAUUAUUGAUUAUUAUUUAAUGAUUUCUGCUUAAUUUAGUGCUCUUGAUAUUAUUUUGCAGAAAAUGGUGAAAAAGAACAUUUUGGAGAAAAUACCCUUAAAACUGCCUUAAAUGGAGCAAAGGAGAGCAAGCCUGCCAAGUUUGAAUCAAGUGAAGAUAAAUAAGGAAAGUUCUAAAUAAGGAAAGUGGCAAAGAAGGAAAGAACAUUCAGCCAAAGCAAUUUGAAAUUCAAAUUUCAAAUCUCCAAGUAGCCUUUUCCUUAUUCAAGAAGCCAAGUCUCAAGUUGCCAUAAAUGAAGAGCCAAAUAAGGAAAGUAUUUUGAAAUUCAAAUCUUCAAGAUUCAUAUUCAAAUUUUGAAUUUCAAAAUCUAGCUUAUUAAGGAAGCUAAAUCCAAAGAUCACAUGCUUGCCACCUCAUGCCUUGAACAUUCAAAAUUCAAAUUGCAAAGGAGGCUCCACCUUCCUUAUUAGUGCAUGGGAGGCAAGGAGAGUGUGAAGGCAAGUCUUGGGCACCUUGGGCAGCAUCUUGAAGACACUUGGGCAGCAAGCAUAGACCAAAGGCGCCACUCCUUGCACUUGAACACAUGCCCCACGUUUUUCCCUUCUCACAUGUGCAUGGAUGGCACAUCUUGGACCAAGGGCAUAUUGGGCAGCCUCUUGAAGUCUUUUGGGCAGCCUCUUGACACCUUGGGCAGCCUCUUCACUAAUUAGGAAGCAAGUAUCAUCUAGGGCAACACUUUUCAAGUAUAAAAAGACACAUAAGGAGCCUCUCCAUGCUUUUUCAAACCCCCUUGGAGGCAUCUAUGGGAUUCACAUCUCUUCUUCUACCUUUCUUCUUUUCUUUUAUUUUUGGUUUUUGUUUCAGCCAUGAGAGGCUGAAAUCUUUUAUUCUAGUUGAAGAUUAGGUGAUGCUUUAGUUGUUUUAUGGAUUGGGAGACUUGAUCAAACAUUGUUUAUCUUUUGUUAUUCAAUAUUCAUACAAUCUCAUGCUUAAUUCCAUUGUUGCUUUGUUGUUUGGAUCAAUAUGGCCAAUUGAUUCUUGAUUGCAAGGUAAUAAUAUGUUAGUUUGGGUGAUUUAAGUCCGUAAUUGCUUGGAUUAUUCAAACAUAAGAACAUUUGGUGUAAAAACCAAGGAAAUUGUAUGAUCUAGCAACAUCUCAUGCGUUUGAGUAGUUAGGAUUGGAUCUCUCUCUUUCUUCAUGCAAUCGACAAUUGUUUGAUGCCUAAGGCCCAAGGACGUUCCUUGGCAAUUUGUUAAUUAGUAAUUAAUUAGAGGACGUUUCCUAAUUGGUUUAAUCAUAAGGAGAGACAUGGUGGUGAGAAGCGUCGUCCAUCUCCAUAACUAAUCUAUUGAAUCAAUCAAAAGAAACUAAGUGUCAAUGAUCAAUCCCAACAACUGAAGUGGAUUCAAUUCUUCUACUAGAGCUUUCUUAUUAUUUAUUUCUCUUUUAUUCUAUUAUUCGCUUAUUUUAAUUGCUUUCAGUAGUUUGUUAAUCAAAUCAAUCUCAAACCCCUCAUUUUACUUUUACUGCAAUUUAUUUUUAUUCCGCUUUCAGUUUAUAUCGUUCUCAGUUUUAUCUCGUUUCAGUUUAUCUCGCUUUCAGUUUAUUCUGAUUUUAGUUUAUCUCGCUUUUAGUUUAUCUCGUUUUCAGUUUUCUCCUUUUUCAAUUUAUUUUUGUUUCAGUUUAUUUUAUUGGUCUUGAUAAGAAAAAUAGGUAAGUUCUCAAUUCCCUGUGGAUUCGAUCAUUUCACCACUAUCUGCAGUUGUAAAUUGUUGAUAACCAGAGAGGUUAUUUUUGACCGGCUUCGACAACCGCAAGUCGGUCCUCUGGAGCAACUGGAAUCUGAUAAAAACAUGAAUAACCGUCAAGACAACAGUAAUGAGACUUACCUGCAAGCCUUUCUAGCAUAUGAUCAAUGAAAGGAAAUGGGAAGUGGUCUUUUCUUGUGGCUGCAUUUAGCUUCCUAUAGUCCAUGUACACUCUCCACCCAUUCUGAAUUAUGGUGGGAACAAGUUCUCCUUCAGCAUUUGGGACAAUGGUGAUCCCAGUUUUCUUUGGGACUACAUGCACAGGACUCACCCAUUUGCUAUCAGAGAUUGGGUAGAUGAUACCUGUGUCAAGGAGCUUGACUAUUUCUUUCUUUACUACCUCCACCAUAGGUGGAUUCAAUCUUCUUUGAGCAUCUCUGACUGGUUUGCAUUCCUCUUCCAUGUGUAUUCUAUGCAUGCAUGUGGAAGGAAAAAUACCUUUUAUGUCAUCUAUGGUCUAUCCUAUGGCUCCUUUGUGUUUCUGCAGUACUCUCAGGAGGCUUACUUCUUCAUGUUGGCUCAAUUCAUUGGAUACUAUUACUGGUAGUGUCUUAUCAGCUCCCAAGUACAUGUAUUUUAGAUGGCCUGGAAUAGGCUUCAGAUCUGAUUUUGAAAUUUUCUGAUCUGCAGUCUGUGGUUUAGGCGAGCAAGGAUAUGUCUGUGUUGACUGUCUUGCAGAACUGGAUUCAGGAACAUCCUUCUACGCAGGACCUGACUGAAAGGGAGGGCUGUUCUGCAUUGGAGGCUGAAAGGACGCGCCUGAAAGGCUUUCAGGCGCCUCUUCCUGCGUAAGAAUGGUCUACGUACCAUUCUGAAGUGGUGCAACUGGUUUCUGUACUUCCUGUGGUUGUCUGCAGUUCACCUGUUGGAUGCUGCAGACUGUUUCAUUUAGUUUUGGCUCUUUCUGACUCUCUAUCUGUACCUGGUCAGCAUCCCUGCAAAAAUCAUUGUUCAGAAUAUCAUCUUGAUUGUUAUAAAAAAUCUCCUGGCUCAAGCAGUCAACAAUAUCAAGACCAUAAAUAGGGGACAUAUCAUGUGGAUAUUUCAUAGCAUCAUAGACAUUAAAUUUAAUUACUUCCCCUUCAAACUCCAUAGUCAAUGUACCAUCAUGCACAUCAAUCUUAGUCCUAGCAGUAAUCAAGAAAGGACGUCCAAGAAGGAUGUCAGAACUAGUGUUGCAACCGUCUUCCUUAGUAUCAAUCACAUAAAAGUCUGCAGGAAAGACAAGUUCAUCUACUUUAACUAAAACAUCUUCUAGAACUCCUACGGGGUAAACCAUAGAUCUAACAGCUAAUUGAAUCACAACUCUUGCGUCUUUCAGUACACUUGCAUUCAAAGAAUUAUAGAUGGAAAGAGGCAUAAUAUUUAUGGAUGCACUAAGAUCACACGUAGCUUUCUUAAUUCCAACAUUCCCAAUCUUACAAGAAAUCGCAAACAUGCCUUUAUCUUUACAUUUAGUUGGGAGUUCUCUUUUAAUAACAGUAGUAACUACUUCACCUACACUUACUUUCUCUCUCUCAGCAAGCUUUCUUCUAUUGGUACAAAGUUCUUUCAGAAAUUUUGCGUACCUGGGAAUCUACUUAACAACAUCUAGCAGAGGUAUGUUGAUUUCCACUUUCCUGAAAGUCUCAAGGAUCUCCUUUUCUUCUUUUUCUUUUUGUGUUCUUUCAAAUCUCUUUGGAAAAGGAGGUGGAAUCUGAAAACGUACCUGAUGAUCAGCCUUCUGCGCAGGGGUGGUGUCAGAUGGAGCUCAGCUGGCCGGCUCAUGGAGGUGGUGCACACGAAUGGUUUCAGUUUGUGCAGGGGUGGUUUCAGUUUGCGCAGGCUCUUGUGCAACUUGCUUUUCUUCCUCAAAUCUGGCAUCUUGAAGCUCUUUCCCACUUCUCAAUGUAAUGGCACUCACAUUCUGUCUAGGAUUAGUUUCAGUUUGGGAAGGGAGCUUACCAUGGGAUUCCAGCUUGCUUAUGGAGGUGGCCAUUUUUCCCACUUGUUGUUGGAGGCUUUGCAAAGUCUUCACUACCUCAUCAAGAGUAUUAUUGGAACUUGGAGGUGCUGGUUGUGCUUGACUUCUUUGGUAGCUCUGAUAGUUGUUAGCUCUCCCGUAGCUGAAAUUGGGGUGGUCUCUCCAUCUUAGGUUGUAAGUAUUAGAAAAUGGAUCAUGUCUUACCUUGUUGUUGUAUCCUCCAAUGGAAUUCACUUGCUGGUUGUCUUUUUGAAGAGUAGGACACUGAUCAGUUGGAUGUCCUACAUAUGCACAGAUCCCACAUGGCCUAGGUGGCUGGGAUGCUUGAACCUGUUGAACAGUCCUAUAGUAAAAUCUUUCAUAAAAGAUGUCAGUUCAGAACUAGAAGGUGAACUUACCUCAUUGACUCCUUUCUGCAGUUGCUUUCUUCUCCAUAUUGCUUAGAUGAGGCUGCAAGGGUUGAGAUCAACUCUCUCAUCUCCUUAGGUGUCUUGUCUGCGAUGGAUCCUCCACAGGCUACAUCAAUGAAUCUCUUUUCUAAUGAAAGAAAUCCUCCAUAGAAGAAUUCUAUGAGUGCCUUAUCAGAAAUAUCAUGUUGAGGACAACAUGUACACAAUCUUUUAAACCUUUCUCAAUAAUCAUAUAAAUCCUCAGAUGGCUUUUGUCUUAUGCUACUGAUCUCUCUUCUUAUGCAAAUGGCUUUAGAAGUUGGGAAGUAUUUAUUCAGAAAAGCUACUACCAUGUCAUCCCAAGAAGUAAUAGAUCCAGGUGGCAAAUAAAACAACCAAUCUUUAGCAUAAUCAUCAAGUGAAAAAGGAAAAGCUCUUAACUUAACAUAGUCUUCAGUUAUGCCUUGCGGCCUCAUGGUUGAACAAACAAUGUUAAAUUCCUUUAAAUGCUUGUGUGGAUUUUCAUUCCUAAGACCUCUAAAUUUACGCAGAAGAUGAAUCAAACCUAUUUUCAGUUCAAAGGGAACUGUCAGAGGUGGAUAGGUGAUGCAAAGAAGUACUUGAUCACCUAUAGGUGUUGCCAACUCUCUCAUGGUACUUUCUCUUGGCAUAGGUGCUCUCAUGACUGGAUUUUGAUGCAUAAUUUCUUCAUGGACAGCAUGUUCAUUGUGGACAGCAGGUUGUGCCACGUUUUCUGCCAUUUCAGGAGCUUGGUGGUGCGAUGGAGUGGUUUCAGGUGAAGGCUCUGCACAAGAUGGCUCUUCAGGCGCAAGUUCGGCUUCAGAUGGCUCUUCAGGCCGAAUUGCUUGCUUUCCUAGUCUCCUGAUGGUGCAUUCAAUUUCUGGAUCGUAAGGCAGAGUGUCCCUAUGUUCAGAUCUGUUCAUGAAAGAAAAACAGAUUAGUUAAAUCAACUCCCCGGCAACACUGCCAAUUUUUGACUUGCGAUUGUCGAAGCCGGUGAAAAAUAACCUUUCCGAUGAUCAACAAUAAUAAUACUGUAGAUAGUGGUGAAGGAUCGUAUCCACAGAGAAUUGAAAACUUAUCUAUUUUUCUCAGCAAGACAGAGAAACUUAACCGGAUGAGAAACUGAAAGCAUGCAACUGAAAGCAGAAUAAAAUAAAUUGCAGUAAAAGUAAAAUGGGGGGGGUUUGAGAUUGAUUUGAUUAGCAAACAACUGAAAGCAAUUAAAUGAGCAGAUAAUUAAAAUAAAAGAGAAAUCAAUAUGAGAAAAGUCUAGUUGAAGAGAUGGAUCCACUUUGGUUGUUUGGAUUAAUCAUUGAAACUUAUGUUCCUUAUAUUGAUUCAAUAGAUUAGUUAUGGAGAUGGAAAAUGCUUCUCAUCACCAUGUCUCUCCUUAUGAUUAAAUCAAUUAGGGACCGUCCUCUAAUUAAUUAUUAAUUAACAAAUUGCCAAGGAACGUCCUUGGGCCUUAUGCAUCAGAACAGUUGUUAAUUGCAUGAAGAAAAAGAGAGAUCCAAUCCUAGCUACUCAAACGCAUAAGAUGUUGCUAGAUCAUACAAUUUCUUAGUUGUUACACCAAGUGUUCUUAUAUUUGAACAAUUCAAGCAAUUACAGACUUAAAAUUAUCCAAACUAACAAUUAAUUACCUUGCAAUCAAGAAUCAACUGGCCAAUUUGAUCAAAACAACAAAGUAAUAAUAGAUUCAAGCACCAAAUUGUAUGAAUAUUGAACAAACUAAAGACAAACAGUUUAUGUUUAGAUCUCACAAUCCAUUAAACAACCUUAGUUUCAACCAAUCUUCAACUAGAUAAAAAGGUUUCAGCCACUCAUGGCUGAACCAAAACCAAAAAUAAAAGAAAAGAAGAAAGGUAGAAGAAGAAGAUGGUGUGGCCGAAGGCCUUGUCUUGCAAUCUGAAGGUGAGGCGUGGAGAAGAUGAUCAAAAGGUAUUCUCGGCUUGGUGACGAGCUUCUUAAAUAGGAUUAGAGGCUGACCUUGCUGCCCUAGAGGUACUUCCUGCCCAAGUCGUGUCUAAAAAGGAAAGUAUCGCAUUGCAAAUUAUUCAGAAGGAAAGAGGCGUGCGGUAUGCUCUUCAGAAGGAAGGUGUGCGCGCGGCAAGGCUUCAAAAGGAAAUAGUGUGCUGUCCAAGACUUUACUUCCUGCCCAAGUGUCUUCAAGAUGCUGCCCAAAAGGUACUUGCUGCCCAAGUUGUGUCUGGAAAGGAAGGAAUCGCGUUGCAAGGGUUUUAGAAGGAAGGAGGCGCGCGGAUGCUCUUCAGAGGGAAGAUGGGCGCGCGGCAUGCAUGUGCAGAAGGGAAAGUGAAUCUGUCCAUUCUUUCCUUUUUAGGUGGAGCCUUCGUUUGAAUUUUGAAUGCUGAACACAGAAGAGGCAAGUGCGUCUUCAUGAAAUCUUGCUGCCUAAAUAGGAAGAUAUGACUUCUGCAGUGUGUGCACAUCAAUGAAUAAGGAAAGAAAGAUCUGCAUUUUCACUUUCAAAUAAUCUUCUGACUGAGCUUUCCUUAUUUGCUUUUGCUUUUGCACUUUCCUUAUUUGAAAACUUUCCUUUUCUAAAAACUUUCCUUAUUUGAAAACUUUCCUUUUUUGGCACUUUCCAUAUUUGACACUUUUUGGCAGUUUUAAGGACAUUUUCUCUAGAUUGUCUCUUUACACCUAAUAUCUGCAAAGCAUGAUUAAAACCACAAAUUUAGGCAGAAAAGAUGUAAAUAAACAUCAAGAACAUAAUGAUAAAAUCGAUUAAAAUAUGCUCUAUCAAACAUAAAUUAUUUUUGAAAGGGGGAGCAAAUUAAGUGGGAUAAAUUUUUUAAAAUUCACACACUACACUUGUUCUUAUUAUCUUAUCAUCCACUAAUUAUUUAUCAUCAUUAAAAAGGGAGAUUGUUGGACCUAAGUGUUCUAAUCCUUAUUUUGAUGACUAAUAAAUAAAUGGCGUGCUAGUAAUAUCUUUAGAAGUUUUUGUGUGAGCUUGUAGGCCUCCCAUUUAAAUAAAUGUAAUUACUUUAUUUUCAAGAAUGAAAAGUGUCAAGAUUGGAAGCAUACUACAAGAAAGGGACCAAAAUAUAAUAUUUAGUUUAUGCAUUGUGAAUUUCAAUUAAUUAAUUGUAUUGUCUCAAGUUUUUUUUUUUUUUAGUUCUAAAACUUAUAAAUAUGAUCAAUUUUUAAGAAAUUUUUUUUGUGGACCAGAAUAAAAUUUUACAUAUGGAGCCUUUUUUAAUAUACUUUUCAAUCAAAUAAGAGAUUUCAAAUUAUAGGUUACAAUAAUUCAAAUAGAAUGAAAAUUUGGAAGGUUGUAACUUAAGUUUUACUGCAUAACUCUGUAAGAGAUCAAAAUGAAAUUUGACAUAUGGAACCUUUUUGAAGAUAUUUUUCUAUCAAAUAAGAGAUUUCAAAUUGUAGGUUAUAAAAAUUCAAAUAGAGUAAAAAUUUAAAGUUUUUUAACUUAAGUUUUUGCUCCAUAACUCUUUGAGGGACCAAAUUGAUAUUUUUAAUCAAACUAAAAGAUUAGGUUAAAAGGAUUGAAACGGAUUGAAAAUCGGAGUUUUAUAGCCUAAGUUCUAAUUUUUCAAAGAUUUAAUGAAAUGUUUUUGUGCCCCCUAGAGUUAAUGUUAGGCUUCUGAAAGUGGAGAAGUAGAGGCAAAACUUCCAAUGUUCGAUCGCUAAAUAUUGAGACUUUAGGCCGCCGAAAGUCUGUUUUCACCUCCAAAGGUUCGGCCACCGAACUUGAGUUUUUCCAAGCGUGAAAUAACGGCUAUUUCAAUAUAUAAAUGACUCUAUUUACAUUUAAUGCAUCCCAACGGCCAUAUUUAUGUUAGAACUAUAAAUAUAAUGUAUUUUUUAUAUGAAAAAGUUACAAUAAUCAUCUAAGCACACAUUUAUUGAGAAUUAUGCUUUUCACACUCUUCUCUCUCUAAACCUUGAGCCAUAGCAUUAAUUUCUUAAAAACUUGCUUUGAGUCGUAAAUGUUUGUGUUUUGAGAUUGAGUGAAGAUUGUUAAGUGAAUUUAUUAUAGUAAGUGUGAUUUUGAGCAAAGAAUUGCUAUUGUAAGAAAAAGAGCAUUGUAAAGAGUAAGGGUUUAACUCUAGAUUUAUAAGGGGUUAAUCUUCACCUAAAAAAGAUUUGAUAGUGGAGUCGAACUCUCAAGGAAGGUCUUGAGGAGAGGACAUAGGUUUAGGAUGGUUGAACCUCUAUAAAUCCUUGUGUUCGUUUUCACUCUUCCUUCCUUAUUCCAUUUUAAUUUGUGUUUUUAGCUUUCAAUUUUUUAUAAAUCCAAUUCACCUCUCUUGGGUUGCUUCAAGGACAACAAUAGUUAUAAAUAUUUAAUAAAUAUAUAACUAUAAUUGUACAAUAAAUAUAAAGUUAUAUAUAACCCGUCUUAGGUUGCUUAAGGACAACAAUAGUUAUAAAUAUUUAAUAAAUAUAUAACUAUAAUUGUAUAAUAAAUAUAAAGUUAUAUAUAAAUCAUAUAUACUUGGUCAAGGUUAACACAUUUUAGAUCAUAUUUAAAAUUGAAAACUUUGAAACUUGAUUUAAGAUAAUAUCUGAUAUUAAAAGGAGUGAAGUUGUAUUCAUUCUAUAAAUUGUUCAUAAGAAUUAGCAAAAUAAAUUUAUAAUCCUUUAUAUCUAUCAUAGUGUCUCAUACUGUGGAAUAUCAAUUAUUAAGACAUUGUCAUAUCUUAUGAUUUUUUAAUUGAUUUUAAUUACGAUAAAAAUACAUUUCCAUAAGGAGUAUACUAAAUUCAAUACUAGAAUAUCUCAUUGCUUUUAUUGUAUCAAUGACUUUUAUAUUAUUUUCAUAUAUAUUUUCUUGUAUUUUAGACUAGAAGUCUUUGAAUUGUUCAAAACAUUCAUAUUUGUAUUUAUGAAAUACAAGCACCUCAAAAUAUUUUAGAAAUAUCCCUUUUAGCUAUUUCCAAAAUGGACAUUGUAACUUAGCACGAAUAGGCCAUGUUAUAUUGCCUAGUUGUGUAACUUAACACAUCUACAUGGCAAGGCCAUGUAACUGCGUGCCAGCGCAUGCUGAAAAUACAAUCAGCGCACAUCAAGCUAAGGCAUGGCUUGACAACGCGAUCAUUGUUAUUUUAUAGUGUUUAGUUUUGGGCCCAAUAUGAGAUUUUACUACUAAACAACUCAAACCCAUAUGGAAUGAGAGUUUGACCUAUAUAUUAAUUUUAUGGUCAUAAAAAUAAUUUCUACAUGUAUCAUACACAUGUCUAUUAUUAAAUCUAAAUUAAUUAUGUAACAUUCUCAAACCCAUAGUUAGGAAUAGUGACAUCAUUAGGUAUGACUUAGCCUAUUUUAUUAUUAGAACAAGUGGCAUUAGGAGAGGUGCUAGCUUACCCCAAAUUACUUAGAGAAGGUGUGACUGUGCGGUUGUUGAAGCCGGUCAAAAAUAACCUUUUCAGUUAUCAACAAUUUUACAACUGCAGAUAGUGGUAAAAGGAUCGAAUCCACAGGGAAUUUAUACUUACCUAUUUUCCUUAUCAACACCAAGAAAAUAAACUGAAAGUAAAUUAAACUGAAAGCGGUUGUCGAAGCCGGUCAAAAAUAACCUUUUCAGUUAUCAACAAUUUUACAACUGCAGAUAGUGGUAAAAGGAUCGAAUCCACAGGGAAUUUAUACUUACCUAUUUUCCUUAUCAAGACCAAGAAAAUAAACUGAAAGCAAAAUAAACUGAAAGUAAAUUAAACUGAAAGUGGUUGUCGAAGCCGGUCAAAAAUAACCUUUUCAGUUAUCAACAAUUUUACAACUGUAGAUAGUGGUAAAAGGAUCGAAUCCACAGAGAAUUUAUACUUACCUAUUUUCUUUAUCAAGACCAAGAAAAUAAACUGAAAGCAAAAUAAACUGAAAGUAAAUUAAACUGAAAGCAAAUUAAAAAGGGGGGUUUUGAGAUUGAUUCAAUUAAACUAAUAUUGAAAGCAAUAAAAUAAAGCAAAUAAUAAAAGUAAAGGAAAUCAAAUAUGAGAAAGGUCUAGUUGAAGAAUUGGAUCCACUUCAAUUGUUGGGAUUGAUCAUUGAUACUUAGGUUUUUUUGUUUGAUUCAAUAAAUUAGUUAUGGAGAUGAAAGACAUUUCUCACUACCAUGUCUCUCCUUAAGCAUAAAUUCAUUGGGGAACGUCCUUUAAUCAAUCACUAAUCAACAAGUUGCCAAGGAACGUCCUUGGGCCUUAGGCAUCUAACAACUAUUAAUUGCAUAAAGAAAUAGAGAGAUCUAAUUCUACCUACCCAAACGCAUGGAGAUAUAGCUAGAUCAUGCAAUUUCCUUAGUUUUCACACCAAGAGUUACUUAUGUUUGAAUAAUCCAAGCAAUUACAGUCUUAAAAUUAUCCAAACUAACAAAUUAUUACCUUGCAAUCAAGAAUCAACUGGCCACAUUGAUCAAAAUAACAAAGCAACAAUGAAAUUAAGCAUGAGAUUGCAUGAAUAUUGAAAAACAAAAGGUAAACAAUGUAUGUUCAGAUCUCCCAAUCCAUAAAACAACUAAAGUAUCAAUCAAUCUUCAACUAGAAAUAAAGGUUUCAGCCACUCAUGGCUAAAACAAAAUAAAAAAUAAAGAAAGAGAUGAAGAAGAGAUGUGGCCACUUGCAAUCUCGUAUGUGUGUCUAAGGGAGAGUAGAAAAAGCAUAGGGAGACUCCUUAUGUGUCUUUUUAUAGUUGAAAGUGUUGCCCCAAGUCUCCUUGCUGUCUAAGUUGGUCUUCCUUGCUGUCCAAGUUGCUGCCAUUGCCGCCCAAGUGUACAUUAAUGAGGUGGAGCCUCCUUUUGAAUUUUGAAUUUUGAAUGUGCAAGACUUGGGGGGCAAGUAUGUCUUCUUUGCCUUCCUUAACAAGUUGAAUUUUGAAUUUCAAAUUUUGAAUGUGCAUCUUCUUGAGAUUUGACUUCCUCAAUAAGGAAAAAGAUUCUUGAAAAUUUGAAAUUUGAAUUUCAAAUUGCUCUACUGACUGCACUUUCCUUAUUUAGCACUUUCCUUAAUAAGCUGAAUCUUGAAUUUUGGGCAGAUAUUAGGCAGUUGCAACUUGGCAUGUUUGCUCUCCUUUAUUCCAUUUUAGGCAGUUUUAAGGGCAUUUUCUCCAAAUUAUCUCUUUACACCAUUUUUUGCAAAAUAAGAUCAAAACCACAAAAUUAGGCAGAAAAAGUGUAAAUUAACAUCAAUAACAAUAUGAUAAAAUAGUCUAAAUUUGAACUGAUCAAGGUGCUAGCAUAACUCUAAACUACUAAUAAUUGAAUCAUAAAAAAUGCAAAUAAAGAAAUGGACAUAUCUAGAAAUAAAGUAGACAAUGUGAUUAGCAAGUCAGAAACGAGUCACUUUCGGGAGGUACUUAGGGUUUUUCGACGUGCUUGUUUGAGGUACUUAUUAAAAUUCGACAUGCUUACCAAAGUGAAAUGGAUUUCUGAAGGCUAAAAGAAUAUUUAAUAGGCCAAUUUAUGAAUAUUGAAAGUUUGAAAACUAAAUUGAAACAUGAUAAAGAGUUUAGUAGGUUAAAAUGUGAAUAUGGAAAGUUUAAAGGUAAAAUUUAAUAUCAGUCUUACAUUUUUUCAUCUUUUCAACUUAGGCCUCCACAUGUCACCUAAAUAAACAUAAGAAAGAUGACAAAAUAAAGAAAAAGUGGGUUGUCUUCUUGCUUUCUUCUUUUGGCCGAAGAUCACUCCAUUAAAAAGAUAAAAAGCUUUGCUUUUCCUUCUUCUGCCAAAUUCAAGCCAAUCUCUCACCAAAUCAACUUUUUUCUUUAACUAAAAUUUACUCUAAGAUCAAGAGCUAAAGAAAGAGCUAUAUAUUAAAAGAAUUGAAGAAGAAAAGUUUAGGAUUUCAUAUGCACCAAGCUUGAAAAUCAAAGGUGAGCAUAGAAAUGUGUGCUAAAUUAAAGAAUAGUAAAAUAUCAAAUGAUAGUUGAUAGUAUAAUUAUAAAUGUAUUUUUCAUAUGUACUACAAGUUGAAAUGCUGAUAAAACAGAGAAAACUCUGUCAAAAUUUCAGUUUAAAAUCUCACAUUUACUUUACUCACUUUAUGAAAUUUACAUGAACUACUUAAUAACUUGGUAAUUAUACAUAAAGGAAAUGGUUUAGUUUUAAAAUAUAUAAGAAAGUAUAGUUUGUGAUAAUUCUUACUCUGUCUACACCUUGACAGGGUAAGGGGUGUUACAAUUAGUAGUAUCAGAGUCACCCUGGGUUAGAAAAAUUGUGCAGAGCUAGUAGGUCUGCAAGGAAAGUGCUAUAUGUGCAAGAUGAGGUGGAGCCGCUCGAGCACUAGCGAACCACAACACCCGAUGAUUCGAUUAUGGCAUAGCAAUUGUACUCAAUUUAGCACAAUUAGAUCACAAUGGGCAUCACGUUCCACAUCAGGAAAUUAUAGGAAAACGAAAUUUUAUAUAAUAGCUAGUACGAAACUACUAAAUAAUUUGGGUUAACCAUUUUGGGCCAAGUAGAAAAUGGAUUCAAAAAUUAUUUGGGUCAGUUUGGGUCGGGCUGUUACAAAUUAUGUUAAUUUAAUUGAUUAUUCUCUCAUUAAUUAAUCAUAUUAGUUGACUAUUGGCUAGACCAACAUUUGGUUUUAUGCCCAUUAAGAGAAUUAUAUUUAAUAUCUUAAGUCCAUCCAAAUAUUUUUAAGAUCCAUAUCACGAUAAAUCAAGCCCUGGCCUAGUAGAAUAUUUUUACCUUAUUCCAAGUCCAUGUUGUACAUGGCUUUAAUUCAUCAAAUGAAUUUAUCUUCUUCUUUAAGAUCCAUGUCCUAUAUGGAUAAAAUUCAUCAUAUGAAUUCAUCUUCCUCUUUAAAAUCUAUGUUCUAUAUGGAUAGAAUUUAUCACAUGAAUUCAUCUUCUUCUUUAAAAUUCACAUCCUGCAAGGAUAAAAUUCAUCACAUGAAUUUAUUAUUUCCAUUAAAUUUAAUUUUAACUUUUCAUGGUUGAAUCUAGUUCAAGUCAUGCUAGGGACAUGCAGCUUAGGUAGCUAACUAAAUUCAUUAAUUAAUAUAAUUAAUAAAAAAUAUUUAUUUAAUUAAUUAAUCUUGUUAAAAUUGGUCCUUAUAUGUGUGAUUACACAGGUUCAUAAUCAAUUAGUAAUGGGAAUGGAAACAAUAUUUCAAUAUACCUCGAAUGAUAUCUUAUACAUUCUCGAUUUUCACAAAUCAUAGUUGGUGUCUAGUAUAAUGCACCAUGACUAUCCAAUUAACAAUGAAUGUAUUAUUCCAUUCAAUCCAGACUAUGAUCAUAAAUAAUCAUGCAUUAUAAUCCUUUCAUUAUAGAAUCCCGAUCUAAGCUAGGGUCCUAGUAAAUUUCAAACCCUAAUAAUUUGAGUCAUACGACCUCACUUGAUUCUAAUUCUUGAUUAACAAUACUUACAUUAGAAAAAUCCUUUUGUAACUAAGUUAAGCUACCUUGGCCAAGGAUUUGUUAUCUAGAAUAAUUAAUAUGGUCAUAGGCUUUCGUCCAUUUAUCUAGAGUAAUGAAUCCCAUCUCGGCUGACCCCUUAUCUCAGUGUACAACUAUUUUAAGCCAACAACUCACUAUUUACCCAUACAUAGUACAAGUAUGUAAUAAGUGGUAUUAGACUCAAACUACCUGCACAUCAGACAAGUGUCAUCUCAUGUCUAAGGAUUAUAUACACUAUUAUGAUCUAGAUAAAUGAAUAUUGAUAAGAGUAAACUCCAUGCAUUCUUCAUCAAAACGCCACUUGUGUGGUCCAUUCAUCACUAUAAAUGUCCACAUAUUUAUCUAGACAUCACAUGUCUAAUUGUAUGAGACUCACCACUCUACUAUCAUUAGCAUCACUAUACUAAUCAGUAGAGAUAGAUAGAGGUAACAAUAUAUUCUAAUUGAAUCGCUUCCAAUGAGGCAUCCUAUGAUUGUGAACAUUUUUAUAGCAUUUUGUAAAAGUACAUUCUGUCGUCAUAUUCUCAAGCCCUUGAGAAGGGAUCGACUAUAAAAAACUAAUGAGCAAUAAUUCAUGUUUAAUUAUUUAAAUAAUAUUUAAUUAAUUAAAUUAUCUAUUAUUUAUGCUUAAAAAUAUAAGAUUAUAUCAAAUCAAAACUAUAGCAUAUACCUCUAAGACACAUAUUUUUAACACUUUGUUUGGUGGCUAAAAAAGAAAAAAUAAAAGAAAGAGAGUGGGAAAGAAGAGAAGAGAGAUUGAGAAAACAUUGGGUUUUAUAUGAUUUUUUUUUUGUUUAGUUUAAAAGUAAAUCUACAUUUUAGUAAUUUUGUUUUCAAAAUGCUAUUAAAAUUAGUUUGUUUGAGUAUAAAAUAAUAAUAUUUGAAACAAUCAAAGUAACUUAUAUAUUUAAAUUGUUCUUUCAACUUAAUUUGAAAAAAUAAUAAUAUACUUAAAGUAUCUUCUAAUAUAUUAAAAUUUAAUAAUAACAACAAUAAUAAUUAAGAUAAAGAGUAUACCAAAUAUGUCCUCACACGUUAUGUGUAAAGGUUUACUUACCAAAUAUGUCCUCACACGUUAUGUGUAAAGGUUUACUCUUUGUUUAGGAGUUUAUUUCUUUUUAUGAAGGUUUGAGGAUUUGUAUUUGUAGUUGCUCUGAUACUACUUGUAGUUACUCGAGAAUUAAACAAGUUACUCGAGACUUAAACUUUGAUUUUUGGUGAGCGACUUAAUAGAAACAAGAUAAAAUAAAGAAAAGAAACAAAUAAUAGAGAAGAAGAAGACACAAAGAUAUUUACAAGUUCGGAUCAAUCUUUGAGGAUCAUCCUACAUUUCGAAAGAAGGAAUCCUUUAUUCACAAUGAGUUAUAAAGAGAGAACAACCACACGAGCACAAACUCGAUUACAGAUCAAUAGAUGGCAGAGAAAACAACAAUCUCUCUUCUCCUUUUUCUACUCACUCUAUGAUCUAGAGGCUCUUUAAAUAAUAGACUCAAAGAUGAAAAAGACUAAAAAGCCCCUCAGUUCUUUUAAUAAGACCCCAACAAAAACACCGUCAUUCCUUUUCUCCUAAUCCUCUCAGACGUUCCAAGCUCUUUAAGAAAUUCUGCACACUAGGUUGUCAGUUCUCUUUCUUUUGUCUAGAAGUUUUGAGCACUUUUGAAGAAUUCGAGCAUUAGUUCUUCAAUUCUCCACCUUGCUUGACCUUCUUCAACACAUGUGAAUCUUCGCUCCUUCUUUGACUUGACCCUCGUGAUUCUUCGGUCAGCCUCAACAAGCUCAACGUCCUUUUGAACUUGUUGACAAGUAAAGUCUUGGCAGGGUUUUCUUCUAUGUGGAUUUUCAAAACUUUGAUAAUGCCUUGAGAAUCACAAAACAACUCCACUGUCUCUUGUUUGAAUUCGAGCUCCUCCAUCAGACCCUUUAACCAGAUUUCCUCUUUAAUGGCUUCUGUUAAUGCCAUAUACUCGGCCUCUAAGGUUGAAAGAGCUACAACAUGUUGUAGACUAGACUUCCAGCUUAUAACAUUUGCACAAACGGUGAAUACAUACCCUGACACCAACCUCCUUUUGUCCAAAUCAGCUGCAUAAUCAGAAUCACAAACCUUUGACUUUCAGACUUGAUUCCCUAACAUAAUUUAGUUUCAGCUUCUAUAUUACUCUAAUGUACUAAAUUCAGUAUUUUUCUAACUAAUUUGAUAUUUUUGGUUAUAUUUCGUAGAAAAGUAAAAAGAGAAGAAGAUUUGAUAAAAAGUGGUUUAAAAGCGCUGACAUUGACUUGACUAGCGAUUUGGGCAAACCUACCAGAUGAUCAUACUACAUAGAAGAAAGGAAUGGUCUAGGCUCGCAAGCUGAUUUAAUCAUUAUCAAAUGGAGGACUUAAGCAACGAUUUGCCCAAACCACUGGACAAAUCAAUAGGCAACACAGAAUUUGACAGUGAACGGAAAAAUUCAGAUUUGAAAAUAAAAGGACUAAGACACCUCAUUAAAAGCCGUGGGAUCGACACAAUUUCUCCUCCUUUAGUACGACACCAAAUCAUCCUCAAAUCAAGGAGUUAUAUCCUUGGAAGAAACAUAUUGAAGGAAGAAGUCCUAAUUCAAACAACGAAGAAUUCCUAUUCCCCAAAAGACUUUGCUAGGGUUAAGCACCUAUAUAAGCCAAUAAUUGAGGACAGUCGCAUAUCUCCCUUCUUCAGCAUUGAUUCUUCAUCUUGAAUUCUCUCUUUUCUUUUGUAUUUUCUUUAAAAGCCAUGAGUGGCUAAACUCUUUAUUUCUAGUUGAAGUUAGAGUGAAAUUUCAGUUUAUACAUGAAUUGUGAGAUCUAAAUACAAUAGUUCAUCUUUUAUUCUUCCAAUAUUUAUGCAAAUUCAGUUCUUCAUAUUAUUAUUGCUUUGUUAUUUGAUUAAUAGCACCCAUUGUUCUUAAUUUCAAAGUAAUAUAUUCUUAGUUUGAAUACUUGAAGUCCAUAAUUGCUUAGGUUAUUCAACAACAAGUAACAAUUAGUAUAACCCUUUAAGAAAUAGCAUGAUCUAGCUUAAACUCACCACGCGAUUUGGUUAGUUGGUUAUAAUUAGGUCUCUCUAAUUCUUAAGACGGUUGACAAAUAAAAUCCCAAAGACAUUCUUUGGAUGAUUUAUUGGCUAGGGUUAAUUAGUAAAUGUUUCCUAAUUAAUUUAAAACCUAAGGAGAGAUUGGUUAUGUGGAGCAUCUUCCAUAACUGUAACUAAUUUAUUUGAAUUAAUAAAAGUAUUUUUCUUUCAAUGAUCAAUUCUCAAACUGAAAUGGGUCCUAUACUUCAACUAGAACUUGUUUAUAUUGAUUUAUUUCUCUUUUAAUUAUUGCUUUCUUUAAUUACUUUGAUUUUUAUUUUUACUUAUCAUCAAAACCCCCCUUAUUACUUUUACUAUUUAUUUUUCUAGUCAUUGCUUGGAAAUUCUUAGUGCUAAUUUCCCGUGGAUUCGAUCCUAUUCACUCUAUACACAAUUCAUAUUUGUUGAUAUUUAAUAGGUUAUUUUUUAUGGCUUCGACACCCAUCAACAAGGCAUCUUAUGUCAGGCUAUAAGGCGGGUUUCGCUAGGCCAUAAUCUAAGUGUUAGUCCCGCUAAAUAAGACAUCUUAUACCAGGCUAUAAUCUGGUGACAAUCCUACUAAAUAAGGUUUUUUAUGCUAGGCCAUAAGGCGGGUUCUGCCAGGCCAUAAUCCGAGUGUUAGUCCUGCUAAACAAGGUAUUAUAUACCGACCACAAGGAGGGUUCCGCGCCAGGCUAUAAUUCGGGUGUUAGCCUCACUAAAAAAGGCAUCUUAUGCAAGGCCAUAAGGCAAGUUCGGUCAGGCCAUAAUCUAGAUGUUAGUCCCGCUAAAUAAGGCAUUCUAUGCUAGGCCACAAGGCGGGUUCUGCCAAGCCAUAAUUCGGGUGUUAGUCCCGCUAAACAAGACAUCUUAUGCCAAGGCCACAAGGCAGAUUCCACCAGGCCAUAAUCCGGGUGUUAGUCUUCCUAAACAUGGCAUUUUACGCCAAUUUACAUGACUAGGUGUUAGUCCUACUUCAUAAAAAGUUUCUAAAGCAUUUUAUGCCAAGCCACAAGGCGGAUAUCCACCAGGCCCAUAAACCGGGUGUUAGUCCCACUAUCCACGAUAUUUUAUGCCAGGUCAUAAGGCGAAUAUCCGCCAAGCCCAUAAACCGAGUGUUAGUCUCGCUAUCCAGGGCAUUUUAUGCCUAGGCCACAAGACAGGUAUUCUCUAGGUCACCUGAUCGGGUGUUUUUCCCACUUAUAAUUUUCUAAGGCAUUUCAUGCUCAGAACACAAGGCGGGUACCCGCCAGGCCAUGUUUCCGAGUGUUGAUCCCAUUUUUGUAAAAUUUUCCAAGUUAUUUAGUUUAUGGCCACUGAAGAUGCAAAAAAGACUGCAUUCAUUACCAAUAUAGAAGUUUUCUGCUACAAAAUGAUGUCAUUUGGACUAAAGAACAUAGGGAUGACUUACCAAAGGCUAGUGUUAAGCAUCUUUAAAGACAUGGUGGGGUCAAUAGUCGAGAUGUAAGUGGAUGACAUGGUGUUAAAGAGCCAAUCCUUAGAAGAUCAUCGAGAUGAUAUUCAAAAAGUUUUUGAUGUAUUGGAUAAGGCAGGUAUUAGACCUUGAAAAAUGAGCAUUCAGGGUAAAAGCUAGGAAGUUUUUAGGUAUAUAGUAUUAGAAAGAGGUAUAGAAGCAAACUUUUAAAAAAUUAAUGCCAUCCAAAGUAUGGAGGUCCCAAAAACCAUAAACGAUAUGCAAAAGUUGAAUGUGUGGGUUACAGCUCUUGGCUGAUAUAUAUCAUGCUCGACUAGGAGGUGCCUUUUGUUUUUUAAAGCCUUAAAAGGAAAAAAUAAAUUUGUAUAGGGGAAGAGUGUAUAGAGGCAUUUAAAAGCCUGAAAACCUUUUUAUCUUCUCCCCCUCUGAUAAGCUCACACAUUGAAGGCGAGGUCUUAUAUUUGUAUUUAUCUGUGAUGCAGGAAACUAUAAGUUCAAUACUCGUUCAAAAGGACAAAAGGGAGCAAAGCCCAAUCUAUUUUAAGGGGGUGGAGUUGAAUUAUCCCUCUCUUGAAAAAUUGGCAUUUACAAUCUUGAUGUCUGCAAUGAAGCUGCGUCCCUAUUUUGAGUCACACACCAUAGAAGUCGGAACGGAUUAGCCCUUAUAAAGAGUAUUACAUAGACUAAAACUAUCAGGGCGGCUGUCCACCUUGGCAGUGAUACUACCAGCUUUUGAUAUAAUGUAUGUCCUAAGAAAAGCGAUGCAGGCCUAGGCGAUAGCCGAUUUUAUCGAAGAGAUGACUCCACCAUUAGAGACUUCAGUAUUGCCUGAAUCGCCUAUUGAGGAGUGGAAGGUUUGGGUAGAUGGUGCUUCUAGAGCUGGGGGUUCUAGAAUUGGAAUCCUCCUGCAGAAUCAAACCAGGACAAAGCUUCGCUAUGCGACAAAACUCGCCUUUAAUGCUACUAACAACGUAGCCGAGUACAAAGUUGUGAUUAUGGCCUGAAAAAUCAUCACAAAAAUAGGUAUACAUAAAUCAAUUAUUUUAAGUGACUCACAAUUGUUUGUUAAUCAGUGCUAGAGAUUUUUUAAAAUUCAAAAACCGAACCUUGUCAAAUACGGAGAGAAGGUUUGCUCCUUAAUGACGAGGAUCAAAGAUAGGUAGGAUAACUGCGAGCUUUACCAGGUGGCUAGAGGUGACAAUGAAGAAACCGAUUUUUUAUCCACAGUGGUGACGACAGGUUAACAACACCUGACCUAACCAUUUCAGUUUGAGGAGCUACACAACCCAACAACAAAUGAGGAAGAAUCUUUCCCCAUAGAAGAUGGACGAUCGUGGAUGACACUUAUGUAUAGGUUUCUGACAGAUGAUGAACUGUCGACCAAUGAAUUAGUGGCUAAAUAUGUAAUAAGAAAGUCCUCUAAAUAUGCACUAAGUAAUGGUUGGUUGUACUGGAGAUCCUUAACUCAAACAUGGCUAUGAUACAUAACGAAAGAUGAGGGCUUAGAAAUCCUUAAAGAGAUUCAUGAAGGUGAUUGUGGAAGUCAUGAAGGAGCUCGGACGAUCACUCGAAAAGCAUUCAGACAAGCAUACUACUGGCUAAUGAUAAUGCAAGAUGCAAAAGAACUUGUCUAGAGAUGUGAUCGAUGUCAAGUGUAUGCAAGCAUUCCAAGGACUCUUGGAGAUGCAAGCAGCGAUUAGAAGCCUCUAACCUUCCAAUGGGGGCUAGACAUCCUUGACUCAUUUCCAAAAGCAAUUGGGUCAAGGAAAUUUGUAAUUAUGGCAGUGGAUCAUCUUAGUAAGUAGGCUGAGACUGAGGCAGUUUAGUCCGUUACCACCCAACAAAUAAUCUCUUUCAUCAGCAAGAACAUCUUCACUCAGUUUAGAAUCCCAAAGAUAGUAAUCACUGAUAACGGACUAGUUUGUGAGUUCAAAGUUUAAAUAUUUCCGUAGGAAAUGGGAGAUUCACUUAAGGUUUAGUUUGGCCUAUCACUGACAGACCAAUAGAAUGACUGAUGUUACAAAUAGGACUAUCCUACAAGGGCUAAAGAAAAGACAUGAUAAAGCCAAGGACAACUGGCUUAAGGAAUAGCCACAAUACUUUGGGCAGAUAGAAUAAUCCCGAGAAUAGCUACAGGGGAAACACCUUUCUCUCUUGUGUAUGGGGCUGAGGCAAAAAUCCCUGUGGAAAUCCAAGUAAGCAAUUUUAGGAAGUCCUGAAGAAAUGCAAUUCAAUUUGGAUUCAGCCAAACUUUUACGAGAAAAGGCUGCAAUCAGAAUGGUGGUUUAUAAGAACAAAAUGUUCAGAAUAUUUAAUAGUAGAGUCAAGUCAUGUGCUUUUAAUAUGGGGGACUUAGUCCUUAAAAGAACAGAUGGAACAGGUGGUAAUGCCGAGUCUUGUAAGUUGGGAGAAUACUUAAAAGGACAAUUUAGGAUCUUGAAGGUUAUUUGCCUAGGAUCUUAUAAGCUGACCAAGUUAGAUGGCCGAGCCAUUCUCCACUCUUGGAAAAUUUGUAAUCUAAGAAAUUUCUAUAAAAAACAGGUAAUGAUAUAUUUCUACAUGUAACAGCCCGGCCCCUUUCGACCGGCCCUGUUACCGCUCACAGCCCGUGACCUUCCUCUGGGCCCAGCCACUGUGAGCAGCUCUUAACAUCCCUUCACCCUCACGGGUUCCAGGCAGGAUUUGUCCCUCGGGGGAGCCAUUACGGCCCGCCCUAGCCCGAGUGGAUUUGGCCCAAUUCCUUCCUCUGGGAAUUAGGUCGCCUCCCCCACUGCUCGAACCCUUGACCUCCCACUUUAAGGGAAUAGUCUGGUGAGAGUGAGUACCAAUUGUUCCAUUCCAGGCCUGUAGCAUGGGGUAAGGAAAGACCAGGAUCCCAUGCUAUGGUCUAGCAUGGUUAUGGGACUUGAAGACCAGGAGCCCAGAGGAGGCCCUGGGAAAAUGGUAAGUAAUGUAUGUUCUGACAGGAAAGACCAGGACCCCAUUCUACAGGCCUGGCACAGAGUUAACUUGGACUAAUUGGUGACGAGUUCACCCAACCCUUAUGUGAACUGUUUGUGUUAUGAUGCAUUUCAUAGAGCAUAGUGUUAAUGUGUUUUAAUAGCUCUACUCACUGGGCUUUUAGCUCACCCCUCUCCCUUUACCCCCAGGCUUGCAGGUACAGUAUAGUGCGGGAGUCCGGAUAGAGUAAAGAAAUCAUGUUAUGCACAGGUUGAGCUUGGUUGAUGUUCAUGGAAAGAAAAGUUUUAAUUUUUAUGCAUGUUGUUGAUCACAGGUUUAUAGGUUUUAUGACAGGCUUGCUACAGGUCCCGGCGGCCUUAAGUCGACCCGGAUCCUAG
rnacentral:lncRNA from 1 species